UUAUAUAAAGAAUUAAAAGAUGUACUUGUAUAUUUCAAUUCAUAGAAUUUUACUUGAUUUCUAUUUCAUGGUAAAUAUGUCUGCUGAAAAGAAUCAACUGUGUAUCUAACUUACGAAGUAUGUUUGUGCAUUAAAUUCUAGGGCUUUGUUACAUGUGUUAUCAUAACACAAACAGUUAAGGACAACUGAGCUUGUAGACAGCUUCAUUAGAAAUUUCUUACCCAGAAUCAAAGAUUUUACAUCCUAGGCCUGGAUGUGAACCUUGACCUGGACAAUCUUACAGACAAUAAUAGAAGAGUCACCUGAAAUUGCACAGGCAAAUUCAUCAGAUUCAGAUCCUGUCCUGCCAUCUUCAGGUAGACGCAGUAGUGGAUAUCCUGGCAAACCUUUAUUGGACUUAGAGCCACCUUGGGACAAUCCCCCACAACAAAUGUGCAUCUUAGGCUUGGCAAUCUCAGUCAGUUUUGUAGGAAAGGAGGAUUGGCACCACUGAAUUGACAAAUAUUGACAAUUGACAGUUUAGUCACACUAAACUAUAGUGGCAUGUUGCUUCAAGUUACCACACUUAUUCUAAGAUUGCUGAAUUAUCAUUACUGUAGGAGACCCUGGAUCUCUCAACCAGAAGAAGAAACUUGGGGAUCAAUCAGUUAUAAGAUUAAAAUCUGUGGAACACUA
rnacentral:lncRNA from 1 species